rnacentral:tRNA from 1 species
GGCAGGAUACCUCAGCUGGUUAGAGGGCUCGGCUCAUACCCGAGAUGUCGCGGGUUCGAGUCCCGCUCCUGCUACCA